CCUACGGGAGGCAGCAGUGGGGAAUAUUGGACAAUGGGCGAAAGCCUGAUCCAGCCAUGCCGCGUGUGUGAAGAAGGCCUUCGGGUUGUAAAGCACUUUCAGUGGGGAAGAAAGCCUUGGGGCUAAUACCCUCGAGGAAGGACAUCACCCACAGAAGAAGCACCGGCUAACCCCGUGCCAGCAGCCGCGGUAAUACGGAGGGUGCGAGCGUUAAUCGGAAUUACUGGGCGUAAAGCGCGCGUAGGCGGUCUGAUAAGCCGGUUGUGAAAGCCCCGGGCUCAACCUGGGAACGGCAUCCGGAACUGUCAGGCUAGAGUGCAGGAGAGGAAGGUAGAAUUCCCGGUGUAGCGGUGAAAUGCGUAGAGAUCGGGAGGAAUACCAGUGGCGAAGGCGGCCUUCUGGACUGACACUGACGCUGAGGUGCGAAAGCGUGGGUAGCAAACAGGAUUAGAUACCCCAGUAGUC
rnacentral:rRNA from 1 species